rnacentral:misc_RNA from 1 species
GGAAAAAGUCGUAACAAGGUCUCCGUAGGUGAACCUGCGGAGGGAUCAUUACAGAGUUCAUGCCCUACCGGGUAGAUCUCCCACCCUAUGUUAUUAUUACUUUGUUGCUUUGGCGGGCCGUUAGGCUCCGGCCCGACUACCGGCCCCGGCUGGUAAGCGCCCGCCAGAGGACCCAAAACCCUGAAUAUUAGUGUCGUCUGAGUACUAUAUAAUAGUUAAAACUUUCAACAACGGAUCUCUUGGUUCUG